AUGAUUCGUGGGACGUCCUGCCGGUGGUGGCGAGUCGAAGGCGUGCUCCCGUUGUGGUUUCCACUUCGGUUCUUGCGCGCUCGAGGCGGACCCCGAUGAAAUCCUACCGCGGUGCUCUUCGCCGAGUGUCGAGGUGGGCCGGCACGUUUACUUUGAACAAAUUAGAGUGCUUAAAGCAGGCCUGUUGCGCCUGAAUACUGUGUGCAUGGAAUAAUGGAAUAGGACCUCGGUUCUAUUUUGUUGGUUUUCGGAACCCGAGGUAAUGAUUAAUAGGGACAGGCGGGGGCAUUCGUAUUGCGACGUUAGAGGUGAAAUUCUUGGAUCGUCGCAAGACGGACCGAAGCGAAAGCAUUUGCCAAGUAUGUUUUCAUUAAUCAAGAACGAAAGUUAGAGGUUCGAAAGGCGAUCAGAUACCGCCCUAGUUCUAACCAUAAACGAUGCCAGCUAGCGAUCCGCCGAAGUUCCUCCGAUGACUCGGCGGGCAGCUCCCGGGAAACCAAGCUUUUGGGUUCCGGGGGAAGUAUGGUGCAAG
rnacentral:rRNA from 1 species